rnacentral:lncRNA from 1 species
UACAAGUGUCAAGUGUCACGCAUAAGAAGGCUUGGUGCACUCGGAGCUCGAAGGACCUCUUUCUCUAGCUUUUAUCCACCACAUUCGCGUCUAGAUACUUCCCUAGCCUCGAGCUAGUGGUAUGUUGUCACGACGCUAGAUAAGCAACUCCGGUGAAGUUUACGACGCAGGAACGCAAAGUUGUGAGUUCAUGCUCCCCCUUUUCUUUAACUGUUUUUGGUUUUAUAACUCUCGGGGGUGAAAUACAUGUUACAAAUAUUAUAAUUUUUUUACAAGUAGUAAAAAUACAAGAAGCACUCUUGGUGAGAACGAGUACCGAGUGCAAUACGAAUCGAGAAUACAAAAAUACGAGAAGCACACUUGGUGAGAACGAGAACCAAGUAUGAUGUGCUUUAAGAAAUGCCUAGAAAUUACUAGAUCAUGUGAGCAUAGACUUAAUACUAAAAAUGCCAUAAAGUCUUGGUGAAAACUAGUACCAAGCCAUUAAAAACAUUCAGUAAUUAGGGACGAGGGUUAGAUCUAACGGGUACGGCCGAGCCCCACUCAUGGUCCUUAUGUGACCUCUUGAGUGCUUCGGUGUCCCAGUCGAGGUAAAUCGACACAGUCGAGGUAAAUCGAC